rnacentral:rRNA from 1 species
CAGCCGCCGCGGUAACACGGAGGGGGCUAGCGUUGUUCGGAAUUACUGGGCGUAAAGCGUACGUAGGCGGCUUUGUAAGUUAGAGGUGAAAGCCCGGGACUCAACCCCGGAAUUGCCUUUAAGACUGCAUCGCUUGAAUCGCGGAGAGGUGAGUGGAAUUCCGAGUGUAGAGGUGAAAUUCGUAGAUAUUCGGAAGAACACCAGUGGCGAAGGCGGCUCACUGGACCGACACUGACGCUGAGGCGCGAAAGCGUGGGGAGCAAACAGGAUUAGAUACCCGGGUAGUCCCUGUCUCUUAUAC